CGUGAAGACGGAGGGCUUGUGGUAGUAGUUGCAGCCGAGGCGAGACCCGAAGCUGACGAUGCCGUGCACCUGCCACCGGCCGUCAGACGCCUGACAGUUCAGUGGCCCGCCAGAGUCUCCCUGAGGAAGGCCAGAGUUAUAGGCAGGUAAAGGGAGAGGAAGGGGCUGCCCAUUGGAACCAUUGUUCUCAAUGCAUUUCUAUUGUUCUGCUGCAGGUCACUGUCCUCGGAAGCUGACCCUUGUGGUCAUAGCCCAAGGUGGUACCAUAAUUCCAACAAGAGCCAACACUUAUUCUUCCUGUGUGGCCAGAGCUGAGCUAAGCAUGUUCUAUGCCUCAUCUCAUUAAUCCUCACAAAAUCCUAUGAGAUGAGGAAACUGAGGUUCGGAAGUGGCUUGCCCAAGGUUUCACCGUGACUGACAGAGCUGGGCCGAAAAGCCAAGCAUUUGGA
rnacentral:lncRNA from 1 species